rnacentral:rRNA from 1 species
AAUUUUGGACAAUGGGGGAAACCCUGAUCCAGCCAUCCCGCGUGUAUGAUGAAGGCCNNNGGGUUNUAAAGUACUCUUGGCAGNGAANAAAAGGUAUCUCCUAAUACGGGAUACUGCUGACGGUAUCUGCAGAAUAAGCACCGGCUAACUACGUGCCAGCAGCCGCGGUAAUACGUAGGGUGCAAGCGUUAAUCGGAAUUACUGGGCGUAAAGCGUGUGUAGGCGGUUCGGAAAGAAAGAUGUGAAAUCCCAGGGCUCAACCUUGGGACUGCAUUUUUAACUGCCGAGCUAGAGGAUGUGAGGGGGGGGUAAGAUUCCACGUGUAGCAGUGAAAUGCGUAAGUAUGUGGAGGGAUACCGAUGGCGAAGGCAGCCCCCUGGGAUAAUACUGACGCUCAGACACGAAAGCGUGGGGAGCAAACAGG